AAACGCUAUCGUUUUCGCUAUUUCUUUAUUUAAAAAAGAAAGGAAAAACCAAAACCAAAAUACUGUCUCCCUCUGCAAGAAACCUCAUAGUCUAACUAAAAAGCAAAGCAAGUGCGCUUUCCUCUUUGUUGAAAACCUUGAUUCGAUUUGAUCUUUAGAGUUGCAGAAUGGGUGAUAGUCAGUACUCAUUUUCUCUCACCACCUUCAGUCCUUCUGGCAAGCUUGUUCAGAUUGAGCAUGCCCUAACUGCUGUUGGAUCCGGUCAAACUUCUUUAGGAAUCAAAGCUGCUAAUGGUGUUGUCAUUGCAACUGAGAAAAAACUACCUUCUAUUUUAGUUGAUGAAGCAUCUGUUCAAAAGAUUCAGACAUUAACUCCAAACAUUGGAGUUGUUUAUAGUGGCAUGGGGCCUGAUUUUCGGGUUCUAGUUAGAAAAAGUAGGAAGCAGGCUGAGCAAUAUCACCGCUUAUACAAAGAACCAAUCCCUGUUACACAACUUGUAAGGGAAACUGCUGCUGUUAUGCAGGAGUUCACCCAGUCUGGUGGUGUCAGACCUUUUGGUGUCUCACUGUUGGUCGCUGGGUAUGAUGACAAAGGUCCACAACUAUAUCAGGUGGACCCAUCAGGUUCAUAUUUCUCCUGGAAAGCUUCAGCUAUGGGGAAGAAUGUUUCUAAUGCAAAGACAUUUCUUGAGAAGAGGUACACAGAUGAUAUGGAGCUUGAUGAUGCAGUUCAUACAGCCAUAUUAACACUAAAAGAAGGGUAGGCCUCUAAAUUUUUUGAUAUGCCAGAGGACUGGGACUGUUUUAGUAUGUGAUUGCAAUGUUCCACUAGUGAUCUUCCGUUCCUCUUCGUCUUUUUCUUCUAGCCAUAAUCAGAUCGAUAUUAGGCCUGCGUGCUGGAUUUAAUCUUCUAAACUAUCAAUGUGGGUUGGCUGAAGUCUAAAAAUUGAGAAGCUGAAAUGGUCCUUGGAAUUUGCUUAAUAGGCACUUGUCAAGGCAAGUAAUUCUUGCUUGUGCUGUUCAAUAAGUAGCACUUCAAACGUUCUUGCCUUGCUUCUUUUUCAGGUUUGAAGGACAAAUUUCAGG